rnacentral:rRNA from 1 species
AUUGAACGCUGGCGGCAGGCCUAACACAUGCAAGUCGAGCGGAUGAGAGGAGCUUGCUUCUUGAUUCAGCGGCGGACGGGUGAGUAAUGCCUAGGAAUCUGCCUGGUAGUGGGGGACAACGUUUCGAAAGGAACGCUAAUACCGCAUACGUCCUACGGGAGAAAGCAGGGGACCUUCGGGCCUUGCGCUAUCAGAUGAGCCUAGGUCGGAUUAGCUAGUUGGUGAGGUAAUGGCUCACCAAGGCGACGAUCCGUAACUGGUCUGAGAGGAUGAUCAGUCACACUGGAACUGAGACACGGUCCAGACUCCUACGGGAGGCAGCAGUGGGGAAUAUUGGACAAUGGGCGAAAGCCUGAUCCAGCCAUGCCGCGUGUGUGAAGAAGGUCUUCGGAUUGUAAAGCACUUUAAGUUGGGAGGAAGGGUUGUACGUUAAUACCGCGCAAUUUUGACGUUACCGACAGAAUAAGCACCGGCUAACUCUGUGCCAGCCGCCGCCGUAAAAC